GCCCUUGAGAUCCCUUACCCAUUGGACUUGAACAGUGUCUGAGUUGGUAUAAAAGGAGGAAAAAUAGAACUGAAACUGAUGUAAAUUCUUUCAUAACACACAAGCUAGUUUCAAACAAUA
rnacentral:snoRNA from 1 species